rnacentral:lncRNA from 1 species
AACGUUUCGCUAGUCAGUCAUCAGCGCUACAGACUGGGAGCAGCUCAAGCCUUUCAUGAGAGUUCUUCCUUUGGGGGUUUGUGUGUGUCAUCUCAUUAGAGGAGUUUGCCAGCUCCUACAUCGGCAGUCCUCCCGUAGACACGCUGCAGUGUAAUAGACAGACUCUGAUAUUAUGUGAGGGAGGACUCUUCAUUUUGUGGAGGAAGACCACAGAAGCGGGUGCCGAGCUAUCACACCAUGUCAAGGAUGCUCACAGACAUGGCGACUUAAUAUUAAUGAUGCUGAUCCUGAUCCUGACCUCUUCAGGGAGGCAGUGUUUUUCGGAUCCCUCCACUGUAAAAUGGUACCUCCUCUUUCUUUCUUCUGUCUUCUUUGGCAAAACUGGCUAUAUGGACUCCAGACUUAAAAGAAUGAGAAAUUAUGUACCUCCUACUUGAGGAUAGAGGAUGGGUAUAAAUCAUGUGGGAGUCUUCCUCAUGGCAGAUUUGUGUGUUCCCCUGCGUUUACUUAUUCAUUUGACAAUGUGAACUGAUAGACAUUUAUUUUAUCCAUUGGCUUGUGAUUCAGUAUCGCUUUAUUUCGUAUGUUAUUAUGGUAUUACUUUUUUAUUUUACAGUAUCAUUUUUCUCUCUGAGAGUUGUCAUCCCCAAACAUCUAAAGCAUUGGUUUUUUGAUGAAUGGAGGACAUUGUAUGAAUUUUGCAUUGUUGGUGGCUCUACAUUUUUAUGCAUACAAACCUUGAGUUGCAGUUGAGGGGUGCAGUUAUUACUUGGAAGCAGAAUGAUAUAUUCAAGCCUGGCUUUU